UACGUAGGGUGCGAGCGUUGUCCGGAAUUAUUGGGCGUAAAGAGCUUGUAGGCGGUCUGUCGCGUCUGCUGUGAAAAUCCGGGGCUCAACCCCGGACUUGCAGUGGGUACGGGCAGACUAGAGUGUGGUAGGGGAGACUGGAAUUCCUGGUGUAGCGGUGAAAUGCGCAGAUAUCAGGAGGAACACCGGUGGCGAGGGCGGGUCUCUGGGCCGUAACUGACGCUGAGGAGCGAAAGCGUGGGGAGCGAACAGG
rnacentral:rRNA from 1 species